UACAGAGGGGGCAAGCGUUAUUCGGAAUUAUUGGGCGUAAAGGGCGCGUAGGCGGCUUGGCAAGUGGAAGGUGAAAUCCCUCGGCUUAACCGAGGAACUGCCUUCCAGACUGCUUUGCUUGAGGCCGGGAGAGGCGAGUGGAAUUCCUGGUGUAGAGGUGAAAUUCGUAGAUAUCAGGAGGAACACCAGUGGCGAAGGCGGCUUCCUGGACACCAACUGACGCUGAGACGCGAAAGCGUGGGGAGCAAACAGG
rnacentral:rRNA from 1 species